GGUGAACGCUGGCGGCAGGCCUAAUACAUGCAAGUCGAACGGCAGCACAGCAGAGCUUGCUCUGUGGGUGGCGAGUGGCGGACGGGUGAGGAAUACGUGGGAAUCUGCCCAGUCGUGGGGGAUAACGUAGGGAAACUUACGCUAAUACCGCAUGCGCCCUUUGGGGGAAAGCCGGGGAUCUUCGGACCUGGCGCGAUUGGAUGAGCCCACGUCGGAUUAGCUAGUUGGAGGGGUAAAGGCCCACCAAGGCGACGAUCCGUAGCUGGUCUGAGAGGAUGAUCAGCCACACUGGAACUGAGACACGGUCCAGACGCCUACGGGAGGCAGCAGUAGGGAAUAUUGGACAAUGGGCGCAAGCCUGAUCCAGCCAUGCCGCGUGAGUGAAGAAGGCCCUCGGGUUGUAAAGCUCUUUUGUUGGGGAAGAAAAGCCUUGGGUUAAUACCCUGAGGUUCUGACGGUACCCAAAGAAUAAGCACCGGCUAACUUCGUGCCAGCAGCCGCAGUAA
rnacentral:rRNA from 1 species